rnacentral:tRNA from 1 species
GGGCAUUUAGUCUAAGUAAGACUGCUAAUUUCGACUUAGCCGAUUAAGGUUUAAACCCCUAACUACCCU